UGAACAGUUUAUGUACACAGAGCACACACAUAUAUACACUUAAGGGGAAAAAAACUAAAAAGAAAGUGGUCUAAUAAUACAAACAUAAAAUACAGCAAAUGAAUCCAUAUGACCAACACACAACAAAACAUAUUCCUCAUUCAUAAAAAAUAACAACUGCAAACAAAAUAUUUUUAUAUUACAAGAGUAAAAUUAUGUAUUUAUUUAAUUGAAAUACAGUUGAUUUACAAUAUUAUAUUAGUUUCAUGUAUACAACAUAGUGAUUCAAUAUUUUUAUAAGUUAUACUCCACUUAAAUUAUAACACAAUAAUAGCUAGGCCUCCCUGUGAUGUAUGAUAUAUCCUGGAUGCUUAUCUCUUUUAUACAUAGUAGCAUAGAUAUACAUACACAUAUAUGUAGUUACACAUACAUACAUUUUAUACAUUGUAUCUCCAAUCCCAUCCCCUACUUUGCCACUGCCUCCUCCCCUCUCUCUAGAGGUAAAAUGUAGGUUGUUUUCUAUAUCUCUGAGUUUAUUUGUUUCAUUAUUUGCAUUCCUCUGUUUCAUUUUUAUUUUUUAGAUUCCACACAUAAGUGAUAACAGGGCAUUUCAAACUAAUACCUUGACAGAUAAAAUUUCCUUGAAAAUGCUUUUUUGUGGAGCUAAAGAUAUCAAACAAAAUUUGUUACAUACCUUCUUUUAAAGAUGAUUGCAUGGAGGGGCACUGAAAAUAUAAUACUUUAUCUUUUGGACAUUUCUGUGUUACUUACUGAGAAAUCUGUUCAGUAAAGGUUGUUCUGGAUUCAGUAUCUUAUUUAUAUUCCCAAAACAUAAAAAAGGAAAUUGAAGGAAAUCCAUGCAACAUCACCCAUAUCCUUUCCUUAUUACAAGUCUUCUAAUGCUUGGGAUGAAUGAGAUAGAAGGAGUUCACUGUCAUAUUUUUCUACAGUCAUUAUUAUAAUUAUAUAACUUCAUAUUUACUAGUCAAUAUAUUUCAAUUUAAGAUCUUUCUAAAACCAGUGGAAUUGUUCUUACUCAAAUAAUGAUUUUAUAAUGCAAAAUCUAAUAAACAUUUUAGUACUUAUUUUAUCCAUUCCUUUUGAAAUUAUUUUUUCUCUUCGUGACUCUUUCUUAAAUUUCUUUGGCUCUUACAACACUUAUAUCUCCCUAAUGAUGAUCUUCCUGUAACUUCAUGAGGCCCUCUUCCUUCAUGAUUUCUUUCUCUUCAGAAAGAAUGAUCUUAGUAAGGAAGAGAAAGUUAAAUGUGUCAGUUAAUGCUGACAGAUUUAAGAAGAAAAAGUUUUUCGCUGUACCUCAUUUUAUUGUACUUUGUUUUAUUCAGAUUUGCCAAUAAUGUGUUUUUUUACAAAUUGAAGGUUUGUGGCAACCCUGAGCUGAACAAAUCUAGUGGCAUCAUUUUCCCACAGCAUUUGCUCAUUUUGUGUCUCUGUGUCAUGUUCUGUUAAUUCUCACAAAAUUUAAAAUUUUCUCAUUAUUAUUAUAUUUGUUAUGAUGAGCUUUGUUGUAACUUUUGUUUUGGGAUGCCUCAAACUAUAUACCCAUGUAAGAUCAACUUAAAUUGAUAAAUGUUGUGUGUGUUCUGACUGUUCCACCCACCAGCCAUUCCCUUUAUUCUCUCUCUCUACAGGCCUCCCUAUUCUCUUAAAUAUAACAAUGUUUAAAUUAGGCCAUGGAUAACCCUACAAUGGUCUCUAAGUGUUCAAGUGAAAGAAAAAAGUCACAAUCUCUCACUUUAAUGAUUAAGUUUAGGAAGGCAGGUCAAAAGCCAAGAGAGGUUGAAAGCUUCACCUUUUAUGCCAAAUAGUUAGCCAAGUUGUAAAUGCAAAGGAAAUACUCUUGAAGAAAUUUUAAAACGCAACUCCAGUGAAUAAGCAAAUGAUGAGAAAGCAAAACAGCCUUAUUGCUGAUAUGGAGAAGGUUUUAGGAAUCUGGAUGAAGAUCAAACCAGCCACAACAUUCCCUUAAACCAAAGCCUAAUUCAGAGUAAGGCCCUAGUUCUCUUCAAUUCUUUGAAGACAGAGAAAUGAGGAAACGGCAGAAAAAAGGUUUGAAGCCGGUCAAGGUUGGUUCGUGAGGUUUAAGGAAAGAGGCCAUCUCUAUGACAUAGAAGUACAAGGUGAAGCAGCAAGUGCUGAUGUAGAAGUUGCAGCAAGUUAUCCAGAAGAUCUAGUGAAGAUGGUUAAUGAAAGUGGCUACACUAAAUAACAAUUAUUUGAUGUGGAUGAAACAGCCUUAUAUUGGAAGAAGAUGCCAUCUAGGACUUUCAUAGCUGGAAAAGAGAAGUCAACACCUGGCCUCAAAGCUUCAAAGGAUAGGCUGACUCUCCUGUUAGUGGUGAAUGCAGCUGGUGACUAAACUGAAGCCAGUGCUCAUUCACUGUUUUAAAUGUGCAAGGGCCCUUAAGAAUUAUGCUCAAUAUAGUUUGCCUGUGCUUUUUAAAUGCCUUAUUGAGAUAUUCAUUUUAUUUUAGUGGUCUGGAACAAAAACCACAAUACCUUUGAGGAAUGCUUGUAUGUGAUAAGAUGGAAACAUAUGCACACAGGUAACAGAAGUUUCUAUGAUAUCUUGGAGGUAGAAACAAUCAUUCGGUGGAAAUGCUCUUGACUCUUCCAAUACCAUUUACUCUUACAUCCAAGCAUUCAGCAAUUCCUACUAGAUUAAUCCCCUACAUAUUCACUUAAUCUAUUCUUUCCUUCCCAUCCUGCUACCAGUGCCUUAUUCAGCUUCUCACAAAUAGCAUCAAGAUUAUUCCAGCACUUUUUCAGUCGAUAACCCAUGUUCCCUUAUUGUCUUUAUCUAACACUCUCCAGAUAAUUACUACUGAUAUUUUUAAUACUAAUACAGAGAUAUAAUCCAGUAGAAUAAAAGAUAUGCUCCCUAAUGACAAAUUGCUACUAUCCAUGGCCUGGUCUCUCAAACUCUCCAUUAUCCUAAAUAUGUGUGCCAUUUAUGCCUUAAAUCUUACCUUCAAGUCCACCAUUGUAUUUUUUUUUUUUAAUGACCACCCCUGUAGCAUAUGGAAGUUCCAAGGGGUUGAGUUAGAGCUGGAGGUGAGGCUUACACCACAGCCCUGGCAACACUAGAUCUGAGCCACAUCUGUGACCUAUGCUGUAGCUGGCAGCAAUGACAGAUCCUUAACCCACUGAGCCAGGCCAGGGAUUGAAACUGCAUCCUCACAGGGACAACAUCAGGUCCUUAACCUGCUGAGCUACAGACAGGAAGUCUGCAUUUUUUUUUCAGACCAUAUUUUUUAUCCUUGAUAUAUCUUUGCUCAUGAGGGUCCUUUACAUAUACUAUUUUCUCUCUUUCCUUUACUCACCAUUUGUCUUUAAAAAUUGAACCAAUGUUUAAAGAGUUAGCUGUAACCCUUAAAAGUCAAUCUUUCCUGAAAUCCCCACCUACUGGAUUGUUCUUUGAUAACAUUUUGUGUCAAUCUUGCUGAAAUUAACAAAUGAUAUAAUUGUUUGGUUUUUAGUCCAUGUGAUGAUUUUUUUUUCCUUUUUUAUGGCUACUUUUAAGUGUCAACUUGACCAAGUCAAAGUAUCUCCAGAUAGCUGAUUAAACAUUAUUUCUGGGAGUGUUUGUGAGGAUGUUUCAGGAAGGGAUAAGCAUUUGUGGACUGGGUAAAGCAUUUGUGGACUGGGUAAAGCAGGUGGCUCUCCCCAAAGUUGGUAUUAUGCAAUCCUUUGAAGUCUUG
rnacentral:lncRNA from 1 species